rnacentral:tRNA from 1 species
GAUGGCAUAGCUCAGUGGUAGAGUGCAUGCUUAGCAUGCAUGAAGACCUGGGUUCAGUCCCCAGUACCUCCA